rnacentral:rRNA from 1 species
UACGUAGGGUGCGAGCGUUAAUCGGAAUUACUGGGCGUAAAGCGUGCGCAGGCGGUUUUGUAAGCCAGAUGUGAAAUCCCCGGGCUCAACCUGGGAAUGGCAUUUGGGACUGCAAGGCUUGAGUGCGGCAGAGGAGACUGGAAUUCCUGGUGUAGCAGUGAAAUGCGUAGAGAUCGGGAGGAACAUCAGUGGCGAAGGCGGCCAUCUGGGACAACACUGACGCUGAGGCACGAAAGCGUGGGGAGCAAACAGG